rnacentral:rRNA from 1 species
CCUACGGGUUGCAGCAGUGGGGAAUCUUGCACAAUGGGGGAAACCCUGAUGCAGCGACGCCGCGUGAGCGAUGAAGGUUUUCGAAUCGUAAAGCUCUGUCCUAUGGGAAGAUAAUGACGGUACCAUAGGAGGAAGCCCCGGCUAACUACGUGCCAGCAGCCGCGGUAAUACGUAGGGGGCGAGCGUUGUCCGGAAUUACUGGGCGUAAAGGGUUCGCAGGCGGCAUGACAAGUCCGAUGUAAAAGGCGAAAGCUCAACUUUCGUAAGCAUCGGAAACUGUCAAGCUUGAGUGAAGGAGAGGCAAGUGGAAUUCCUAGUGUAGCGGUGGAAUGCGUAGAUAUUAGGAGGAAUACCGGUGGCGAAGGCGACUUGCUGGACUUCAACUGACGCUGAGGAACGAAAGCGUGGGUAGCAAACAGGAUUAGAUACCCGAGUAGUC